AGGAGGCAGCAGUGAGGAAUAUUGCACAAUGGGGGGAACCCUGAUGCAGCAACGCCGCGUGGGCGAUGAAGGCCUUCGGGUUGUAAAGCCCUUUUCUAAAGGAAGAGACAAGGACGGUACUUUAGGAAUAAGUCUCGGCUAACUACGUACCAGCAGCCGCGGUAAAACGUAGGAGACGAGCGUUAUCCGGAUUUACUGGGCGUAAAGGGCAAGUAGGCGGUGGGCAAAGUUGGACGUGACAUCUCUCGGCUUAACUGGGAGGGGUCGUCCAAAACUAGCCGACUAGAGGGCAGGAGAGGGGAGUGGAAUUCCUAGUGUAGCGGUGGAAUGCUUAGAUAUUAGGAAGAACACCAGUGGCGAAGGCGACUCUCUGGCCUGACCCUGACGCUGAGAGGCGAAAGCUAGGGGAGCGAACGGGAUUAGAUACCCUCGUA
rnacentral:rRNA from 1 species